rnacentral:lncRNA from 1 species
UCUAUGGUUAAAUCAUGCUCCUUUUCGUCGUUGUGCUGCCACAUUGUCUUGGUACAGAACAGUUUCUUGCCUAGCACGUUUUCUUUCUUGCACAGCAAGACAGGCUCCUCUGGAGAGGGUUCCUUCUUGGUUCUCUUGCACGCGUCGUCUUUCAUGCCUCCCAACACUAAACUUAUCUCGUCCUGGUCCACAAGCGCCACGUAAU